AGUCGAGCGGAACGAUGGUAGCUUGCUACCAGGCGUCGAGCGGCGGACGGGUGAGUAAUACUUAGGAAUCUACCUAGUAGUGGGGGAUAGCACGGGGAAACUCGUAUUAAUACCGCAUACGACCUACGGGAGAAAGGGGGCAGUUUACUGCUCUCGCUAUUAGAUGAGCCUAAGUCGGAUUAGCUAGAUGGUGGGGUAAAGGCCUACCAUGGCGACGAUCUGUAGCUGGUCUGAGAGGAUGAUCAGCCACACCGGGACUGAGACACGGCCCGGACUCCUACGGGAGGCAGCAGUGGGGAAUAUUGGACAAUGGGGGAAACCCUGAUCCAGCCAUGCCGCGUGUGUGAAGAAGGCCUUUUGGUUGUAAAGCACUUUAAGCAGUGAAGAAGACUCUUCGGUUAAUACCCGGAGACGAUGACAUUAGCUGCAGAAUAAGCACCGGCUAACUCUGUGCCAGCAGCCGCGGUAA
rnacentral:rRNA from 1 species